rnacentral:rRNA from 1 species
UAGGGAAUCUUCCGCAAUGGGCGAAAGCAUGACGGAGCAACGCCGCGUGAGUGAUGAAGGUCUUCGGAUCGUAAAACUCUGUUAUUAGGGAAGAACAAAUGUGUAAGUAACUAUGAACGUCUUGACGGUACCUAAUCAGAAAGCCACGGCUAACUACGUGCCAGCAGCCGCGGUAAUACGUAGGUGGCAAGCGUUAUCCGGGAUUAUUGGGCGUAAAGCGCGCGUAGGCGGUUUUUUAAGUCUGAUGUGAAAGCCCACGGCUCAACCGUGGAGGGUCAUUGGAAACUGGAAAACUUGGGUGCAGAAGAGGAAAGUGGAAUUCCAUGUGUAGCGGUGAAAUGCGCAGAGAUAUGGAGGAACACCAGUGGCGAAGGCGACUUUCUGGUCUGUAACUGACGCUGAUGUGCGAAAGCGUGGGGAUCAAACAGG